rnacentral:rRNA from 1 species
CGCAAGCCUGACGGAGCAAGACCGCGUGGGGGAGGAAGGCUCUUGGGUUGUAAACCCCUUUUCUCAGGGAAGAACAAAUGACGGUACCUGAGGAAUCAGCCUCGGCUAACUCCGUGCCAGCAGCCGCGGUAAUACGGAGGAGGCAAGCGUUAUCCGGAAUUAUUGGGCGUAAAGAGUCCGUAGGUGGUUCAUCAAGUCUGCUGUUAAAGCGUGCAGCUCAACUGCAUAUAGGCAGUGGAAACUGUUGAACUAGAGUAUGGUAGGGGGAGGGGGAAUUCCCAGUGUAGCGGUGAAAUGCGUAGAGAUCGGGAAGAACAUCGGUGGCGAAAGCGCUCUACUGGACCGCAACUGACACUGAGGGACGAAAGCUAGGGGAGCG